rnacentral:rRNA from 1 species
UACGUAGGGUGCGAGCGUUGUCCGGAAUUAUUGGGCGUAAAGAGCUCGUAGGCGGCCUGUCGCGUCGGAUGUGAAAGCCCGGGGCUUAACCCCGGGUCUGCAUUCGAUACGGGCAGGCUAGAGUGUGGUAGGGGAGAUCGGAAUUCCUGGUGUAGCGGUGAAAUGCGCAGAUAUCAGGAGGAACACCGGUGGCGAAGGCGGGGUCCUGGGCCAGUACUGACGCUGAGGAGCGAAAGCGUGGGGAGCAAACAGG